rnacentral:tRNA from 1 species
GCCGGAGUGGUGGAACUGGUAGACGCAGAGGACUCAAAAUCCUCCGCUCGCAAGAGUGUGCGAGUUCAAGUCUCGCCUCCGGCACCA